rnacentral:lncRNA from 1 species
UCCCUAAUUUAGCAUAUAUAGUCGUGUGGCGUGGUCUGGAGAAAGAGAGGCCAAAUUUAGGAUCGAGUGUCUUCUCUUCCUUGGCCAAAGUUCACAUGUCGAUCAAUCCCACCAUGUAGCUUCGCUUUAUGUCCUCCAUCACAGGUACAUGUCCCUCUUCUCUCCUUUCUUUUAUCUAUCCUUGUUCUUUUCUCUCCUAUAUCUCCUACAUCUAUCCUCUAGAAUUGAUUUUCGUUUUUUAGGGUAUUUUUCCUUCUUUUGUUAUCUUUUAAUUCGGUAAUAAAUCUAAUCUCAGUUUAUUUAUUUGUAAUAUUUGCACCUUAUUCAUUCAUUUGUACUAAAUCAAAUCUGAUUUUGGUUAUAUGUGGUGAUUUUGGUGGUCAAUCAAUUUUUAUUUUGGAUAUAUGUGCACCACAUGUUUGAUGUUUUGUCCAUCUGUUGCAAAAUUUUGAAAUCCUUAUGUUUACAGUCUAAUAUGAUUGUAUACAUAUGUAAAAAGUUUUAUACCUUUAGGUUUGCGUAUUAGGUGUCACAACAAAUAAGUUCCCUAGUUCUCACACAGGUGAAUUUGACAGAUGACAACUACACUAAUAAUAAAACAUAUAUAAUAAACACAAUACAUUAAAUGAUUGUAUAAUGAUUGAGUUAGAAUAUGAACAGUUUUUUUGUACUCUAUUAGUCUCAAAAUGAGUGUCCACAUUUAAAAGUUAGCUUUUAAGAAGAGCUUGAAUAUAGCAUUAUCAACUGCCAAGAUCACAACAUACAGGAUGUAAUCAAGGUUUCAAGCAAUUUUAAAAAUUUAGCCUAGAAAAUGUAUCAUGAUAAGAUUAUAAAGCAAAUGAAGCAAUAUCUCUGACACCUUAUAUACCUUUAAGUUUGGGUAUUAGAUGUCACAACCCCACUGUUCAAAUAAGUUCCCUAGUUCUCACACAGGUGAAUUUGACAAAUGACAACUACACUAGCUGAAUAGAGAAUUCAUGUUCUUUACCUAAUCAACUUUUUGACCUUUUUCCUAAAUAACCUCAUCAUUCUAGUUUUCCCAUUUUUUACAAAUUAAUUGUAAAGUUUUUAUUUUUGUGAUUAAUGCAGAUUAACUACGAAGUUUACACAUGAAUAUUUGCACUUACUCACCAUAUACUGAUUAGAUACAUAUUUCAGUCUUUUGAAGCUUUCGAGUGUCCACAUAGGUACAACAUGAAUAUGGCUUUCCUGUUCAUUCAAUGUGAACCACUGCAUAUCUUCUUUAGGGAGAUCUAAGGAUUCCAAAAGACGCAGCUUUGUAGUAUUGACAUAGAUUUUCUUGCGCAAAACCCGAGCAAACCUCUAUAAAUAGCCUUUCUUUUCCUAUUUUCAAAAAGAAACAAAUGGAAGGAAAAGAAUAAAUGUUUCUGUAGAGAUGAGAAUGUUGUAUAAUAGAAAUUAUGGUACCAGAUAUAUUAUACUGUGGAUGGACCCUCAGUGGGGAGCAAACCCAGAGAGAGAACCUAUUGUAUAGCUACUAAUCAAAAAUAGAGUUCUUGGGUUGAAUGCUUCAGCCUGGAUGACAUCAAUGACAAAUUGAAUAACAGCCUCCUGCUUUGGAAAGUCAUACUGCAAAGAAUAGUUUAUAAACUUCCAUCAUGAUCAUCCAGUAAAAAAAAUGGAAGUAGCUUAAUUAAAAUAUGUACAUGAACAAUUUUUCUCUCUACAUAUAUAGUUAGGAAAGUAGUAGUAACAUGCUCCUGAAAGUAUGAAAACUUAUCUACAGUAAAGAUCGACAAUAAAUCAUAUUUUAUACAAGUGAAUGAACAUACAGGUUUAAAUGAAGGGAGUGUAAUUUAUUUUUUGAAUUUCGAAGAGAUGCUUAUAAUAUAUGUCAUUAUUACAAUUAAAAUGGCAAUCGUAAAAUGUCUUAAGGUGGGAAAAAAUAUCAUGUCAGUCGAAAAAAUAAUAUAGUUACUAUAGAU